rnacentral:rRNA from 1 species
GACGAACGCUGGCGGCGUGCUUAACACAUGCAAGUCGAACGGAAAGGCCCUGCUUUUGUGGGGUGCUCGAGUGGCGAACGGGUGAGUAACACGUGAGUAACCUGCCCUUGACUUUGGGAUAACUUCAGGAAACUGGGGCUAAUACCGGAUAGGAGCUCCUGCUGCAUGGUGGGGGUUGGAAAGUUUCGGCGGUUUGGGAUGGACUCGCGGCUUAUCAGCUUGUUGGUGGGGUAGUGGCUUACCAAGGCUUUGACGGGUAGCCGGCCUGAGAGGGUGACCGGCCACAUUGGGACUGAGAUACGGCCCAGACUCCUACGGGAGGCAGCAGUGGAGAAUAUUGCACAAUGGGCGGAAGCCUGAUGCAGCAACGCCGCGUGCGGGAUGACGGCCUUCGGGUUGUAAACCGCUUUCGCCUGUGACGAAGCGUGAGUGACGGUAAUGGGUAAAGAAGCACCGGCUAACUACGUG